rnacentral:rRNA from 1 species
UACGAAGGGGGCUAGCGUUGCUCGGAAUCACUGGGCGUAAAGCGCACGUAGGCGGAUUUCUAAGUCAGGGGUGAAAUCCUGGAGCUCAACUCCAGAACUGCCUUUGAUACUGGGAAUCUUCGAGUCCGGGAGAGGUGAGUGGAACUGCGAGUGUAGAGGUGAAAUUCGUAGAUAUUCGCAAGAACACCAGUGGCGAAGGCGGCUCACUGGUCCGGUACUGACGCUGAGGUGCGAAAGCGUGGGGAGCAAACAGG